rnacentral:rRNA from 1 species
GAGGAAUAUUGGUCAAUGGACGAGAGUCUGAACCAGCCAAGUAGCGUGAAGGAUGACUGCCCUAUGGGUUGUAAACUUCUUUUAUACGGGAAUAAAGUGAGGCACGUGUGCCUUUUUGUAUGUACCGUAUGAAUAAGGAUCGGCUAACUCCGUGCCAGCAGCCGCGGUAAUACGGAGGAUCCGAGCGUUAUCCGGAUUUAUUGGGUUUAAAGGGAGCGUAGGCGGACGCUUAAGUCAGUUGUGAAAGUUUGCGGCUCAACCGUAAAAUUGCAGUUGAUACUGGGUGUCUUGAGUACAGUAGAGGCAGGCGGAAUUCGUGGUGUAGCGGUGAAAUGCUUAGAUAUCACGAAGAACUCCGAUUGCGAAGGCAGCUUGCUGGACUGUAACUGACGCUGAUGCUCGAAAGUGUGGGUAUCAAACAGGAUUAGAUACCCUGGUAGUCCACACAGUAAACGAUGAAUACUCGCUGUUUGCGAUAUACAGUAAGCGGCCAAGCGAAAGCGUUAAGUAUUCCACCUGGGGAGUACACCGGCAACGGUGAAACUCAAAGGAAUUGACGGGGGCCCGCACAAGCGGAGGAACAUGUGGUUUAAUUCGAUGAUACGCGAGGAACCUUACCCGGGCUUGAAUUGCAACUGAAUGAUGUGGAGACAUGUCAGCCGCAAGGCAGUUGUGAAGGUGCUGCAUGGUUGUCGUCAGCUCGUGCCGUGAGGUGUCGGCUUAAGUGCCAUAACGAGCGCAACCCUUAUCGAUAGUUACCAUCAGGUUAUGCUGGGGACUCUGUCGAGACUGCCGUCGUAAGAUGUGAGGAAGGUGGGGAUGACGUCAAAUCAGCACGGCCCUUACGUCCGGGGCUACACACGUGUUACAAUGGGGGGUACAGAAGGCAGCUACACGGCGACGUGAUGCUAAUCCCGAAAGCCUCUCUCAGUUCGGAUUGGAGUCUGCAACCCGACUCCAUGAAGCUGGAUUCGCUAGUAAUCGCGCAUCAGCCACGGCGCGGUGAAUACGUUCCCG